UCUUUUUUGUUGAUUUGGAUUCAAAUUCGAAUUAUCUUUCAUUUUUAACAGAGACAAAUUUCUCAAGAUACAUAUGAAGUAGUAUCUAGUUCGGUUACUAUUUUUUCCAUCUUGUCGGAGCUCUUGAGCUCUCGGUAUUUCAGAGAAGGAUAUGGUGCUUUUGAGACUUCACUUUCCUAGUAUUCUGAGUUUCAAUGUCUUCGGAGUCGUCUUCGAUCAACAACAAAAGCACCAGAUUUCACUUGAAUAUGCAUCUUGGUUCGAAAGGCUUCAGUAAUCGCGGAAGCCAAUUGAAUUUUUUUAGAAGAUGAGGUAAUGAGUUUUCGUUUCUUUCUUCAAUAAUUAUUUAUAGAGAUGUUUAGUCGGCUGCGGUUUAGGUUUGAUAGGAAAGAACUUUAGAAUAUCUUUAAGAUAUUCGAAUUUAGUGUGCAUAAUUGUAGAUUUCACGUAGUUUUGGUUGGAAUAGUUAUGUUAUUAACCCGUUUAGUUAUGGAAAAUUCAUUAAUUAUAUUGUUUUUUGUAUUGGAAUAUGCUCCUAUAAAUCCGUUAAAAAUAUAUAUGGAAUGUUAGUUUUGAUUUUGUCAACGGAAUAUACUCCUAUUAACCCGAUUAUAAUCAAUAUGGUAGGUAAUUAAAGAAUAUUGCAUUAACUUUAUUUGCGUCAAGGUCCGUACCAUAAGUCCAAGAUCCGCGUAUAUAACCGCCCAAAUGCAUCCAGGAUCCGCGUGUUUAUCCGACACCAAACCCAGGAUCCGCGUUUUUUUGUUUUUUUUUUCUAUUCAAAUUGUCAAUUUUAUCCUUUCACGAUAUUUUUCAUUAAUUCUUUGAAUGCAAAAUUCCUAAUGGCAUUCCCUUGUAAUUUUUUACACUUUAUAAGGUUUAUUAUUAGGUAAUGCUUCCCAAUUAAUAGUAUAAAUUAUUUUGUAUAAUAA